UGAAUCAAACCAUCAAAACAAUAGCAAAGAACAAGGCACCCACCACCCAGUUCACACAAGUUCCAGAAUAUUUACACUCAAAAUAAUAUUCACGUUAAAGUUACGUGAAAAAUCCCGUGAAUUGGUUUUCACGAAGCUAUAACGUUUUCCACGUGACUACGGUAAAUUUUAAAUGAAUAUCCCCUUAAUUUUAUGUGUUCGUCACAUAGCAUGUACGUGAUGGCGAUAAACGUCAAAGAAAGUUACGUGAAUUUCACGUGUGAAAAUUUGCAAUAACAAAAUGGCAGAACGAUCGUGUGGGGUGUGCUGCAUGCAGUUAGGUGGAUGCAAAAACCGGUAGCUUACAAGCUACUUCAAAUAUUGCUCAUUGCCGUAGAAUCUAGCAAGGAAACACGAUUACUUACAGGCGAAACGUUUGUGGCAUGAGCGUCUAUCAAAGCCAGACGACGAUAAACCUGCUGCUGUCAAGUUCGAAAUCGGGGGAGAUCGUGUUACCAAAAUUCCAACAAAUGAGGAAAUGCCACAUUGCAUCACCUGUUCACCCAAAGGGUCGGACUCUCAGCACAUAGUGCCCCGGCACUGCAGAGAUAUCAAGCGGCACUCCUCUAAAGCCUUAUAAAAAUAACAUUUAUAGGGCUUUACACACCGGUUCAAUUUUACAUAUGAAAUGGGAGCACUGCCAGUUGUCAAAAUCAUCUCGCACGGUUGCCAGAUCUAUCAGAUUUUAACGAAUUUAACUAAUCUUGCAGUUCGGCACUUUCGGUACAGCACCGGCACAGUUCGGCUCGUUUCAAGUCGCCUAACAUAAAAACGGCUGUGCCGAGUGACCGACCCCUUGCUUAGAACAUUGUUGCAGGCUCAAUUUAGGGAACAGCUUGCCUCAUUGAUUACAAUUGCGGUACAAUCAUUUCACAGUUCAUGGCACACUG